UUGGACCUCARWUCAGGCAAGACCACCCGCUGAGUUUAAGCAUAUCACUAAGCGGAGGAAAAGAAACUAACAAGGAU
rnacentral:rRNA from 1 species